AUUGAACGCUGGCGGCAGGCUUAACACAUGCAAGUCGAACGGAAACGAUGCUAGCUUGCUAGCAGGCGUCGAGUGGCGGACGGGUGAGUAACGCGUAGGAAUCUAGCUAGUAGUGGGGGACAACAUGUGGAAACGCAUGCUAAUACCGCAUACGCCUUAUGAGGGAAAGGGUGCCUCUUCUUGAAAGCACUCGCUAUUAGAUGAGCCUGCGUCGGAUUAGCUUGAUGGUGGGGUAAUGGCCUACCAUGGCGACGAUCCGUAGCUGGUCUGAGAGGAUGAUCAGCCACACUGGAACUGAGACACGGUCCAG
rnacentral:rRNA from 1 species